GAGCUCAGUUAAAAACAUGUUUAUCGCCAUCUUCUGUUAGUACGGAGCAUGUGGUUGGCUAACAGACUCAUAUUAGUUUAUGUUAGCUAACUAGUGACAGAACCAAUAGCUCAGAGGAAACUAAACAUCAGAGUACGAGGAUCACUGUAGUGCUGCAGCAGUGAGGCGUUAAACCAGGAUAUACUGUACACUUUACCUUCUGUGGCAGGAAGUGUCUGUUCGCUGUUUGGCUAGCUACAUGGUUAUGGUUGGGUGUUAGCCUAAUUAGUUGUGAUGUUUGCGUUUGUAAAGCACUUUAUGAGGACUGUGGAGCAGAGCGCGGAUUUAUCACUAAUCAGUAAAAUCGUUUCUAAAUCAAGUACUGAUUAAUCAGUGCAGUACGAUCAGUCAGCAUUUCACACUCUAACCAGCAGGGGCACUGCAGCAACACCUGAAGCGGGCCAAUGAGAGGCGCAGCCGGAAGUUAAAAGGCAGAUGGUUUAUGUGAUUUUUACUGAUUAUUUGUGAUUUGGAUGAUUUUCAGGUAAAGGAACGGAGUUUUGGUGGAGUGUGUUUUUUUUCCCCCCCAUCUCACUUGAUUGCUUCGCCAAACUCUAUUCAGAAAAGAUCAGAUUUCAGUUAAACGUGAUCAACUGAGCUCUGUGAUCUAAGAUAGCUUUUAUAGUUUUGGAUGAAGCAGCAGGAUUCCUACUUUAAUUCAGCUCACUCUGAAACCGACAUGGAGAAAGGUUUCUUAGUACAAAGCGCUGAUGAAGAUGUGAUGAUGCUAAUGUUUUGAUCCACUUUGAACGAGCAGAAUUUGACGUUUCUAUGAGCAGGUUUGGCAGGUCAGAGUUCAGCUGCAGGUGAAUGAUGGUGGAGAAGGUGACAUACUCCAAAGAGCUGCUGCAGCGAUGAGGUGGGGGGGGGGGGAGCUGAGCUUCGAGGAGCUGCAAGCUGAAAACUACAAUCAGGAGCAGUUGGAAGUGGAGGAGAAACUGAAACCUCUGAGCGAGGAGGAGGAGCUAUUUGUUGGAGUUGCUACCUCUGAUUUUGGAGUAACCCAUGGGUGCAGGAACUCAUGGCCUCAAAUGCCAGUUUCCUGCAGGUUUUAGAUAUCAAGCUGGGUCAACACACCUGAAUCCUGAAUGAACCUGAAUGAUUAGUUAAUUACCAGGCCUCUGGAGAAUUUCAAGACAUGUUGAGGAAGUAAUUUAUCCAUUUAAAUCAGCUGUGUUGGAUCAAGGACACAUCUUAAACCUGCAUGACACUGGUGCUCGAGGCUUGGAGUUGCCUACCCCCGGAGUAACCUUUGGAUGUAUUCGAGUACAUUAGAGUUCUCAGAGUAACUGUGGCUCUCCCUGCAGCUGCUUCCUGUCUCCUCAUGUGGACCUCUCACCGGUGCUUCCUUCCAGAUAUACGACGAAUUCCAGUCAUAUGCUGCAAGGCCUGCUGGAUAAUAAACAUACACCCUGCUCUCUGCUGCCACCUACUGUGUGCACCAGAAACACUUUUUGUUCUGCACGUGUGUGAAAAGAUGCUUACCGUAGUUUGAAAGGAUUAAGUUCCUGUUUCCUGCUAUCCAUAUGUCAGAGGAAGAGGACUGCUUACAUCUUACAGUUACAGUCAAUUCCUUCUUUUGAAGAGUGCUCCCUCUCAUCUGUUUUGAUUUUUAUUAAAGCUUCAAACAAUAAAUAUUACAUCAAAUUCACAUCAUGUUCCUCAGAAUUCACUAAUUAAGAUUAGUUUAAGAAAUCAUUUAACAAAAUUUAUUUGAUAGGAAAAAUGUUAUUGUUUGUUAGUCUCAUCAGAAUUUCUAAACAAAAACAGAAGCAUAUUUAUAUUAAGAAAGAUGAAAUUUCAAUCAGAUGAUCUGCCAUAAAAUGUUUCAUCAUACUCCUGUUACCUGUUUCCUUUCGUCCUGCACAGGUGCAGUCAUACAAUGUGUUUUGGGCUUUUAUUGUGAAAAGGACAGGAAAAAUGCAUACAUCCAGGACAAUCGAGUUUCUGGUAUGGGUCAGAAGUCAAUGUUUCUCAGGCAGGUUCCUCACGCAUAAUCAGAGCUGUUCCAAACACUGAGGAAAGGAGCUUCAGUGCUUCUUCCUUUAUAGCUCUGUUUAGCAGAGGAGACACUGGACUAUCCUAGAAGUCCUUUGCUGGAUUGCAGUACUUGGGAUUCAUGGUUACUUCAGGCCAUGUCCACACUGAUACAUUUUUGUUUGAAAACGCAUCUUUUUCUCUCCAUUUUGGCGUUCUGUCCACACUCAGAUGGUGUUUUUGUUCAAGGAAAAUGCAGUGUUUUGAAAAACCCUCUCCAAAGCAGAUACAUUUGAAAACGCCAUUUUUGCAUGGCAGUGUGGACAGCAAAACCAGAGCCUUUUCGAAAAUGAUGACAGAUUUUAGUCAUGUGAUGCAGUCAUGUGACCAAUGAAACUAAGAUAGCGGAGGGCAUUAUACAGCGGUUGUUUUGUUUGCGCUCAAUUUUGACAGCCCUAUUAAAGAUUAUUAUCAGUUUGCACAUGCUCCAGAUAGCUGUGGGGCUGACUCACUACCAGACUUUUGUGUUACAGCAAAAACUCCACCUCAUCGUUAGUCCAUUUUAAAAACUCAGUGAUGAUGGAGGAAAACCUAAUGAGGGAGGAGGAAAGACUGUCCACUGGAGGACGGAGUGUGAAGGAGAGCACUGCAGGCCUGCUAACCAAAAUGAGCCAGUGUGAGCUCGGGUUCAGUGUUUCUCUCUGAAAACAGCGAGACACAUCAUAUAAAUGAGAGGAAGCUGAAGGAGGAUCGAUUCCAGGGGCGGUUUUAGCCCAUUUUUGGGGGUGCUUCAGUUACUCUUUAUAUAGUUAGGUAGGAGUUCCAACCUAAUAUUAUAAUGGAUUGGGGAGAUUAAAAUUAAUGAUAUAUUUUUAUGUGGUUCAGCCACAACUCUACUGAAACCUCAGCCAGUAAUAGGUAGGCCAACUUUUGGACCGUCCAGUUGUCUGUAUGACUGCCGCAGUACGUGCACCACAUUUGCACACUAUCAGAAAGUGCCAAACAGCCCUGAUGGAGUGAGGAACUGUAAAGAGAAGCAGAGCGCUCUGUUUAUAGUCUAAAAAUGUUUUAAGCUAACUUGUUUCAAAGAUUCUGUACAGCAGCUUUAAAUGUUUUCCAAAAGCACACAUACACUUACCUUAUCAGUGUUUCUCAAACUUUUUACAGCGUGUACCACCUGAGAAAAACGUCAAGCUGUCCUAAGUACCACUAUGAAAGCAUGAAACUCAAAUCUUACAACACAAAAUUAGUAUCUCCAGUAAAGAUUUUUUCAUACAUUGUAUACAUUCUACCACAGGCAAAGCUGCCUCCAUUUUUAUUUUAAUAUUUUGUAAUAAUUUAUUUGUAAUAAUUUAUUCUGUUUUGGGAGUGUUUUUAUGUAUCUGUAUUAUAUUAUACAUACACAUUAAAAGUGAAAAAAUACACUCAGUUUACUUUUUACUCACUAUGAGCAUCAUUCAUCAUUUUCCCCCAGUAAUUAAGGUUGUGAUAUGUAUUUUUUUUUUUUAAUUUCAAUCCAUUCUUCUUUUGCAGCAUUUAAAUAACCUUGAUCAGAUUUGAUGGUUUUGUUACAGACUUUUCAAAAAAGUGUUUUGCUUUUCUUUCACAAAUGUGGGGAUUAAAUUGUGUUAAAAUGUACAAAACAGUGAUGUCAUGUUUUGUGACGAGGACCCAGGCACAGAGAGACUUGAUGAAUUUAAGAAUCUUAUGAUUUAAUAAAGAAAUUUGCAGACUUGCACAGAGAUGGUAAAAUUAUGAUGACUGAUAACAGAGACGAAGACAACAGAUGAUGAGGACAGGGAGGAACAGGGGUUUAACACUAGGAAGGCCCAGGCUUCUACCUUUCUACCUUUAAAACCCGGAGAGCAGCCAAAUGGCUGGUAGGCUUUUAGCUAAGCUUUAGCUUCAGGCAAGUGGAAGCUAAAUUGGCUAGUCAUUCAUAUGUAAAUUGGGUUGUUAC
ensembl:lncRNA